rnacentral:rRNA from 1 species
UGCGGCAAGAGGACGCCAGCAUGGAUCUCAUGGGAAGUUAUGUCAAAGCCCAAAUAUUUGGGUGGGAUGGGAUUUAGGGAUCUUGAAAUUUUCAAUCUUGCUUUGCUGGCUAGAUAGUCAUGGAGGAUCCUACAAACACGUGACUCGCUGAGUGCUAGAUUAUUGAAGGCGGUGUACUUUCCAAAGGGAACCAUCAUGGAGGCCACUGGCUCUCGACUGUCACAUAUUUGGAGAUCAAUUCUAGAAGGGACGGAUAUAAUGAAGCAAGGAGUGAUUCGGAGAAUUGGAAAUGGCCAAAGCACAAACAUAUGGCAUGACAACUAG